rnacentral:pre_miRNA from 1 species
GGUUAAAAAUUUCAUCCAUUUGUAUUGUUAAAAACUGGUGUAGCUGAUGAAAUAACUAGACAAUGAGACAUGACAUGACACAGUACCUCAUGCUGACAUACAUGGACUAAUUUAUUUCAAUAGAAAUAGAUGAAAUUAAUCUAAUA